rnacentral:lncRNA from 1 species
GUCAGCGAACGAGCGCGCGCAAUAGCGCGGGGCAGGGGUCGCCGCGGCCGGAAGCCCACGCGGGGGGUUGCAGGGACGGGUCGUAAGGGGCGGGGCGGGCCUCGAGGAGGCGGCGGUGGGGUCCCCGGACCUCCGCGCGUGGCACAGCCCGCAUCCUGAACUGACUCCCACUCGAGGACCACCUCUCCUCUCCCUUCUGAGGGCGGAACGGAAAGGCCAAGCGCCUCCUCGCCUCGGGAGCUGCAGGACGCCCUAAUUCAGCCGAGUCGCCGCGUGCCCGGGUGCCCGCGAACAGCAGGAGAGAGGACGGGCGCUGGCCCCACAGGGGUCGCUUUACCCCUUGAAGAGCUCCUCGCUGCCUGCCCUGGGGGUGGUGGGCGUCCAGGUUCACAGGGUACUUGAGCUUGCUGGGGUGGGGGUGUGUAUGAAGUGCGUCCAGGGUUUUGUGGAGCGCGUCUAGCAGUUGCUCUACUUCUUACUGACAGUGAAACAAGGGCGCCCACGACAGGUGUUCCCUUUUCGCUGUCGCUGCCAGGAAGCUUCCAGCCAGGUUCAGCGCCCAGUGGUGUCAGCCGGCCCAUCUCGAGCCUUGGUUCCGCUGUCAUCUUCUGGUGCUUAUUCUGGUGUUUAUCCAACUGUCCGUUUUGAAAUUAUGUUCCCAAGCCAUUUAACACCUCUGGAGAACCAAAGCACUGGCUGUCAGCGGAGCGGGAUGCACGCGCAGCGGAGGGGACUGGGCACGCCAACCCCACGAGGGUUCCUGCGGAGAUGACACGGACCUUGAGGUCUGAAGCCAAAGGACGAUUUGUGUGAAGGGAUUUUAUUGUUAGCUUUGGAGCCAGCAACAAGAACACAGCCCUGGAGUUCCCGGGGCAAAAAGGAUACCAAGAUAAUAAUUCAGGUAUUACGACUAACAUGACUGCAUUUGCACCCACAGGCUGUGGGACUUGGGGACGUUUGAGCUACAUCCAAAAUACAUGAGAAAAUCACACAAGUGAAAUUGGAUGAGAGUGCGAGGGGUGAAGUGAUACAUUAUGACCUAGAAUUAGGGGAGGCUUCCUGGAGCAGGUGACAUUUGCAUUGGGUCUUGAUUGGGAAGAGUGGAACCCAGCAGUCUAGAUAGGGUCCAGAGGUAGGAGGUACCUCGCAUCCCAGGCUGCCUCAGUUCAUGGUGAGAGUGCAGAUAUUUAGUGAAACAGGAGGAAAGGACACUUGGAAAUACACCAUGAAAGAAGGAUUGAAGUUCUUGCAGACACAUGGGAGUGUCCGAGGCUUUAUUCUCCUUCCACCUUGAGCCAGUGGAAUUGCAGUGUCUUUUUUCUACACCUAUGCAGUUUUUUCUACACCUGUGCAGUUUUUUCUAGGGGAAGAUCAGACCCUCCUCUUUGGGAGGAACUCUUGCUUCUUUAGAUAAUAGCAGUGACAUUUUCUAGCCUGAAAAUUAUGAUGUAUGCCCUGAUAGGUUUAAUUAUUUGAGAAGUUCUCACAAAGGUAUACAGAUGUGCUAAGAGUAUCAAGUCAAGUGAGUGACUCUCAAGCUUCAUUAUGGGGAAGAAUAUUUGGUUUGCUUGUUAAAAUGCAGAUUCCGGCCGGGAGCAGUGGCUCAUGCCUGUAAUCCCAGCACUUUCAAAGGCCAAGGCGGGCGGAUCACGAGGUCAGGAGAUCGACAUGGUGAAACCCCGUUUCUACUAAACCCCAACAUGGUGAAACCCCGUUUCUACUAAAAUACAAAAAAUUAGCCAGGCAUGAUGGUGUGCGCCUGUAGUCCCAGCCGCUCAGGAGGCUGACACAGGGGAAUCGCUUGAACCUGGGCGGUGGAGGUUGCAGUGAGCUGAGAUCGCGCCACUGCACUCCAGCCUGGCGACAGAGCAAAACUCUAUCUCAAAAAAAAAAAAAAAAAAAAAAAUGCAGAUUCCUGGGUCCCACCCCCAAAAGAUGCUAAUUUUGUAGAUCUGAGUAGGACCUAAGGGUCUGCAUUUUUAAUACUGAAGCAUGUGGUCUUCAAGCUUAUGGCAUGUAGUAGGGACAGGACGAAAAAUGAAACUGGAGAAUGAAAUGAAACCGAGUCAGUAUGAGAAGGGCCUCAUGCACAGCACCUGGAGUUUGGACUUCAUCCCGUGGUCUGCAAUAAAGUUAGCAUUAACAUUAUUAGCUGCCAGGCCAACAAAACCUUGAGUAAUCCUGCAAUACUCGGAAUCAAGAAAAGUGGCUACAUCAUGGUCAACUUUGAAGAACAUCAGCCUCAAGAUCUUUUAUACUAACUCAUAUGUUUAUUAAAAUCUAUUACUAAAACAGAUUUUUAAAAAUUAUCUUGAGGUUAUAAUGAGACAUAGUGCUUCUACCUAAUUCCUAUUGGGAAAAAAAAAUGUUGAGAUUUGGGGACCAAGAAAAAAAAUUCUGAUCGCUUUUUUUUUUUUUUUUUUUGAGAUGGUGUCUCUCUCUGUCACGCAGGCUUGGAGUGCAGUGGCAUGAUUUUGUCUCACUGCAACCUCUGCCUCCCGGGUUCAAGUGAUUCUCCUGCCCCAGCCUCCUGAGUAGCUGGAAUUUCAGGCACCCACCACCAAGCCCAGCUAAUUUUUGUAUUUUUAGUAGAGACAAGGUUUCACCAUGUUGGCCAGGCUGAUCUCAAACUCCUGACCUCAAAUGAUCCACCUGCCUUGGCCUCCCAGAGUGCUGGGACUACAGGCAUGAGCCACCGCUCCCAGCUGAUUGCUUUCAAUUAGUAUUGAUAAUAGUUUGAAACUGGGACAAGUAGCCUAGUCUUGGCAGUCUUUCUGCUCCUUAGCUCAGCUAGGUCCAAGUUCUUGUCUCACAACCAGGAAAAACUAGGCACACAGACACCGGAAAGUGAGUGGAGUGGAAUUGAUUAAGCAAAAGGAAAGCUCUCAGCAAAGAGCGAAUGCUGGGAGCAGUUCCCCUACCCGAAAGUGGGAAAAUCCCCUCUCAUGUGGCUGAGCCUGGGGCUUUUAUGCACUCAGAAUGGGGAGUGCAUGCUGAUUGGUUUGUGAGUUUGCAAAAAAAGGUUAAAGCAAAGACACCACUCAAAGGCAGGCACGACAGUGUAGAAAACCAAUUAGAAAGGGUAAGUAUACGUAAAAUAGGUGAAGGGUGGAGAUCAGAGGAAAGCGUGCCAAACAGGAAGACAAGUUCUCAAUCUAGUCUGAAAAUUUAACUUGUAGUUUGGCUUUCAGGCUUUAAACUGUCUUCAGCUUGGAGGUGGGGUUUCACCGGGGACCUGCCUCUAUCUGCCUAGGCGUUUGACUGUCUUCUGUUGCUGUCACUAGUAGCACAAUAUAAAGAUUUUGUGCUACUGUUUCACAGUGAUUUGCAAUUAGUGCUUUUUUUUGUCAUGUAGUUUUGUUUUUAGUGCAUUAUUCUUUAGGAGAAUUUAUCCGUGAAGCUUGGGUAUCACAGCUUACUGCUAUGUCCUUGAUUUAUACUUCUCAUUGACUGUGAGAAGUGAUGGCUAGUUUUCCUGCUGUGAGCAGGUUUGGUGAUAUACAAUACCAUUCGCAAGAUGUUAUAUAUGUGCAUUGUCACAUUUCUUUCAAAAAUGAUAUUUCCAAUUUUUCCAAACAUUCAUAUCUUCUUUCUGGCCAUCAUACUGAUUUUAUUACCAAAAUAAAAUCUUAUCAUUAACUCUGAAAACAAUUUAAAUAACUAUAAGCCAUAGUUAGGGAAUGAUUUUUAAUAAAACCUAGAUACAAACACCAUCAUUUUCUCCUCUAAUAGCAGGUUGUCUUGCCUGACUCUCAAAAAUGAGGGAGCUAAAUCAUACAGAUAGGUGACAUGUUCAUGGCUAUAAGGAACACCAUAGCAUAAUAUUUGGACAGUAAGACAUAAUACAUAUCCUGAAAAAACUUUGAUGUGUAGUCAGUGUAACCCUUGUCCCCUGUCCUCCUCCCUAACCUCAGGAAAGAUCCACACUUCCACAUUUAUUCCCUACCCACCUUUGGUUUUGAAUCCUCAUUUCCACAGAUGCAGCAUGACAUCUGUAACCCCUACAAAUCUGCAUACCCCUCCAGCCUUCCCAGAACUUCAUUCCCUCCAUCUUCAUUGCCUUAGCUCCUUUUGUCUUUAAGUAUUCACUCACUAAGUCAAGAAAAUAUUGGAGGGGGGGUGGGGCAAAACAACUAGGCUUUAAAGGUGGGGGAUUACCCAGAUCAACACAAGUCUCCCACUUGAACAACUGCUCUUUGACACCUGUACCCUGAGAUGUGACUAUGGAUUAAAGUCAUAGCACCCCUGCCUCCAGGUUGGAAAGUUUUAUGGAAAAUGAACAUAUUUUAUUAGAAGACAAUGAGAACUUCCUGGAGCAGAUGAGUAAACACACCCUCAUGUUUACCUGAUAACUGAAAUCAAAGAUGAGGUGUAGCCUCUGGUUUGAAAUGUUACAAAGUGUAAAAUUAAGAUAAAGGCAGAAAAAUGAAAAGGAAAUAGCCAGUUUUGAAGCAGAAGAACUCAGUGGGACAGGGGCCAAAUCAGUGAAAGAGGUGCUGCUCAGAUACCAGAUUUAAUGACAACCAAAGUGGCCCAAAUAUCCAAAAAAAAUUGCGCUUCUGAAAACCAGUAGGAGGUUGCAGUGGACUAAAGAUGGCCACAAAAUUUUUAUCGUUUUCCCCGUCAAGAAUGGGAGUUUAUUUUUCAUCAUCUUGAAUCUGGCCCUGUGACUGCAUCACCAAGAAGACACUGCAGAAGUGAUGCUCUGCCAGUUCUGGUUCUAGUCUUUUAGAAGACUGUUAGCCUCUACUUCCUCUUUCUUCAAAUGAGCUCUCUUGGGACACCCUCUCUCAGAACCAAACCACCAUGCAUGGGGCAUGUGUGGCCUCUUCACUCAGGAGCCCCAGCAGAGCAACCAGCCAGUACUGAGCAUCAAGUGCCAGUCAUGUGAAUGAGCCAUCUAGGAUGUUCUUUGGUCAAGUCUAUACAAAAGAACUUACCAGCUGAGCCCAGCCAACACAUAGAAUUAUGAAAUAGUAAAAUGAUUAUUGUUUAAAGUCAUGAAAUUUUGCAGUUUUUUUAAUAUAGCAAUAGAUAACCAAAAUCAAGAUUAAAUAAAAUAUCAGAUGAUUAAAAUGGAGCAUGAAAAUGGAGUUAACUUUGUAAGAAGAACCACAACCCCAAUGAUCAUGACUUAGAGGAAAGUUCAGUAAAUAAAACAGAAAAUAUUGAAAAAGGCUGUUUCAUUUUAAACCUGUGUCAAGCUCCUAGACCUAAAAUGACACUUGAAAUUGUCCUCCAUUAGAAUUCAUUGUGCUACAGAUUUUCUCUCAUUCUGUUACAUAUAUUUAUUUAAUGAAGUAGAGAAAUUCUUCUCUCAUAAGCUAAUGCUGCAAGGUGUUUUUAUAUGUAUUAUAUGUAUAUGUACAUACAUAUAUUUUUUAUAUUAACAUAACAGUUUAUAAUAAAUGUUUAAGUGUUUUAUAAUAAUAUUUAUACAUUUAUCACCAUAUAUACACACACACAAAUAUAUGUAUACACACACAUAUACAUACAUAUAAAUGUCUGGGGAUAGAAAGUGAGACCCUCAGAAUCUUGGAUGUAGCCUGACUGCUCUGCACCCAACUGGGGAGGAGUGAGGGGAGAAGAAAGUAGAGUUCCAGCCAGAAAGGUGACAGAAGACUGCCCAAAGCUUCAUGUAACCAAUCCCUCAAGCCUGCGGAAAAGUUACUAAAUGUUUGGUGCCAGUGCCUUCCUGCAGAGUCAGUGAUGCUUAUGCUUGGUACUGAAUCAGAGACAGCACCUUCAACCAUAGUCACACGUCUGCAAAAGACAGAAAAAUCCAGUCUGAUAGCUUUGUUCUAUGUAUUUGUUCGUGUUUACACCAAGGAUUGUAGCCUGCAGCUCCUGAUCUUUUAUUCUGAAACGUUCUGGAAGUAGUAAAGGCUACUCUAUAACAUACUUGUUUUAAUAAAUGUAUUCUCCAUUUUUUAAUGCAAAACUGGCACAACCAAGAGAGGUGCCAUAUUUUGACUCAUAUUUUUACUUCACCUCUUCAUAUAACACUUCAUUCAGUGUCCUCAAUCAGGUUCUCAUUCAGGUUCUCAAUAGAGGCCAAUUUUGCACCCCCCACCCCCUGCAGCA